rnacentral:misc_RNA from 1 species
AACGCAUCUUGCGCUCCGGGGUAUUCCUCGGAGCAUGCCUGUUUGAGUGUCGUGGAAAUCUCAACCCCGCCGGGUUUUUUAAUUCGGUAGAUGGGCUUUGGAUCGUGACUGUUUGCUGGCCUUGUAAUGAGACCCAGCUCGGUCGAAAUACAAGAGUGGCUGAUUCCCAAUCCGGCCUGACUCGGCGUGAUAAUCACACUUCGCCGAUUACGGAUGGGGCGAUAAAGGCUGCUUCCAAGAUAUAUUACUUUUGAACUAGACCUCAAAUCAGGUAGGACUACCCGCUGAACUUAA